rnacentral:rRNA from 1 species
UACGGAGGGGCUAGCGUUGUUCGGAAUUACUGGGCGUAAAGCGCACGUAGGCGGCUUUGUAAGUUAGAGGUGAAAGCCCGGGGCUCAACUCCGGAAAUUGCCUUUAAGACUGCAUCGCUAGAAUUGUGGAGAGGUAAGUGGAAUUCCGAGUGUAGAGGUGAAAUUCGUAGAUAUUCGGAAGAACACCAGUGGCGAAGGCGACUUACUGGACACAUAUUGACGCUGAGGUGCGAAAGCGUGGGGAGCAAACAG